rnacentral:rRNA from 1 species
UACAGAGGUCCCCGAGCGUUGUUCGGAUUCACUGGGCGUAAAGGGUGCGUAGGUGGCCUGAAAAGUUUGAUGUGAAAGCUCAGGGCUUAACCCUGAAAUGGCAUUGAAUACUGUCGGGCUGGAGGUUUGGAGGGGGGGGACUGGAAUUCUUGGUGUAGCAGUGAAAUGCGUAGAUAUCAAGAGGAACACCAGUGGCGAAGGCGAGUCCCUGGACAACACCUGACACUGAGGCACGAAAGCUAGGGGAGCAAACAGG